GACGAACGCUGGCGGCGUGCUUAACACAUGCAAGUCGAACGGAAAGGCCCUGCUUUUGUGGGGUGCUCGAGUGGCGAACGGGUGAGUAACACGUGAGUAACCUGCCCUUGACUUUGGGAUAACUUCAGGAAACUGGGGCUAAUACCGGAUAGGAGCUCCUGCUGCAUGGGGGGGGUUGGAAAGUUUCGGCGGUUGGGGAUGGACUCGCGGCUUAUCAGCUUGGUGGUGGGGUAGGGGCUUACCAAGGGUUUGACGGGUAGCCGGCCUGGGAGGGGGACCGGCCACAUUGGGACUGAGAUACGGCCCAGACUCCUACGGGAGGCAGCAGUGGGAAAUAUUGCACAAUGGGCGGAAGCCUGAUGCAGCAACGCCGCGUGCGGGAUGACGGCCUUCGGGUUGUAAACCGCUUUCGCCUGUGACGAAGCGUGAGUGACGGUAAUGGGUAAAGAAGCACCGGCUAACUACGUG
rnacentral:rRNA from 1 species